CCCCUCCUGGCGAUAGGGUAGUUCAUAGCCUUGGGGGACUUAAAGUUCUCUUAGGCUCAUGUGUUUUC
rnacentral:tRNA from 1 species